GUCCAACUUCUGGUUGCCACUUUGCAAAUAUUUGCUAGUCGCGCAAAACACUUUGCGGGCCAGGACCAGGGCCAGGGCCAGGACACCGAGGACAUGCAAGGACACAGAGAGAAAUAGUAGUAGGUGGAAGGUCUACUACAACUAGCACCUGGAUGGAAGGCUGCAAGAGUGGGGAAAUCUGUUAGACCCUUGUUCAGGACAAGGCUGUACAGGACAUGGAACAAGUAACUCUCCCAGGAUCUGUCAGUCUUCAAGGAUACAUCUACAGAUCUUGAGAGGCAAUAGAAUAAUGCAACAAGAACUGGUACUAGGAACUAGGAAGUGCCAUCAAAUCCUACA